UAAAGCAGUUGGAUUUAAGUAGAUGGUUAUUAUAUAAUGUCCUAAAUUUUCAAUUUUUCAAAACCACAACCAUCCGUUCGAAAUUCAAUGAUUAGGAAGAAAAAUAAAAUGAAUAGUCAUGUUUUAACCAACAUGAACUCAAAUCUCCCCCAUACCAAACAUAACACAGCACCUUCAGAAACAGAUUCACCAAUUUGGAUGUCAUCACAAAGCAUUUACCAUCCUUCUCAUCUCAGCAGACCUCCUGGGAUCUGGCUCCUCAAUUGCUCUCUCGGUAAGUACUUGCUUGAUUCGACACAUUGACUUCCGCACCUUGGGUAAGCGCUCUGGAUUUGGGAAUCUUAGUUUCUGGGCAUGAAGCAUCUGGCGUUGAGUCAUCAGCAUGUUUUUCUCCUUUAAUAAAACAUACCACAGUUUAUGAAGAUCAUCCCAAGACUUCAGGCGCAGUUCAGAUGCUUUCCAACUUCGACCAUAGACAACACGUUUAUCCUCAUCCUGGGUCCUAUCUGCCUCGAAGAACGCCUCAAGAGGGUUACGAGCAUACCCAGUUGCUGCUGCAGCAGCAGAAGUUUCAGAUUUAACUGCAGCAAAGAGAGUUC
rnacentral:misc_RNA from 1 species